rnacentral:lncRNA from 1 species
CACCAUCUGGUUUCCUGACAAAAAGUGAAGAAAUCUGAGUUUGUCUUCACCCCACAUGGAUCAUGCUACUUUCCCUGGAGAUUUCAGCAUCAUCACUGUGGCUUCUUAUUUCACCAUGGCUCUCUUCUCUGUCACCAUCAGCUUCAGAGUCUACAAGUCUGUCAUUCAAGCUGUACAAAAAUCCAAGAAGGCCAUGCAAUUGAACUGUUUUCAGAGUUCAUAAAUUUGCCAUAAUUAUGAGAGUGACCACUUCAUUGGACCUCAAAACUCAUCAUUUGUCUGUUUCUGGUGGAAGAUCUGGCCAUCUUCAUGUGGCCAAUGACCUCAGUUGGUGUAGUUCCAUAGAACUGCCCUUCCAAUCUUUGCCAAACUGUACAUUUUCAGCAUUCCAAUGAAAAGUACAAACCCAGAUUGAUUAUUAUGUUGUGUUGCCAGGUAUCAGACCAAGACAAUUGUUGAAGGACCCAAGCAAAACUCUCUGGCACUCCAAAUAAAAAAGCAGAAUAA